rnacentral:lncRNA from 10 species
GUAUUCCAAAAAAGUCAGUUUGAAAAGAGCAUGGUGGGCUGGGUGUGGUGGCUCAUGCCUGUAAUCUCAGCGUUUUGGGAGGCCAAGGUGGGAGGAUUGCUUGAGCCCAGGAGUUCAAGACCAGCUUGGGCAACAUGGUGAAACCCCAUCUCUACAAAAAAUACAACUGUGAUUGCACCACUGCAUUCCAGCCUGGGUGACCGAGUGAGACCAUGUCUCAAACAAAACAAAACAAAACAAAAACCAUACAGUUGACAUUUUAAUACCCCUGGAACUUGCUAGGCCUUCAGUGCUUGGAACAACUCAGAAGGGCUACUCUGGCUCCAGAACUUCCUGAAGGCUCAGCUGCAACUACCCUUGGGCCUGCACUGCAGCUGAACUUCUCCCUGUGCCCAAUCCUGCAUAUUUCUGUCUUCCUCAGUUGUUGAUUCCAAGAGCACUCAUUACUCAACAUUCUGCACCCUACACUCGAUGCCAACUGGGGUCGGGUGGAUGAGCACAGGUGUGGGGUUGGUCUCACUGCAGAAAAGCUUCCAACAAAAAGGCUCCUGAAGUUGUACGGACCUGGGGGCCAGGGAUGGGGUGGGGAAGGGAGAGUGGGAAAACUUCUGAGUCAGCAUGGAGGAAAGUGUCUUCAAGGAUUCUCCACUCCCCAAGAUAAGGAGGUCCUGGCCGAAGGCCUACCCCACUGCAAUGAAGACGUGUCUGAAUGAAGACUUGGGUUGGGAGCGGAGAUGUGUGUGAGAGGUCGACUGUCCAGGAGGCCUGAGUCUGUGUCUGCAACUGUCUUUAAAGACUGCAACGCAUCAGCUGUGCACGACUCAGCUGUGAGGCCUGCCAGGUAAAACCUGUCAUUGCCUGUGUUUGGGCUGAAAAAUCACACAUAGGUUUUUAGCCAGGAGCUGGACUGUUUGUGAAGGGAUGCAUGAGUUCAGAGGAGGAAAACCAAGAAAGGAAGCCUGGACAUAGGUUCCCUCGCAUUGCACGUAGCCCUCAUGCCUCCGAAUGCGCCAGAGAGUGACCCCGCACAUGUACAGCAUCUGUACAUGGGUGUCUUCCCAGGUACUCAGAGCCGCGUGCGCAGCUCUCACAGGCAGAUACACCUGCAUGCACAUGCACAUGGAUGCAUACUGGGACUGUUUCUUUUCUUUUUUUCUUUUUUGAGACGGAGUCUUGCUCUGUCGCCCAGGUUGGAGUGCAGUGGCACAAUCUCUGCUCACUGCAACUUCUGCCCCCGGGUUCAAGCGAUUCUCCUGCCUCAGCCUCCUGAGUAGCUGGGAUUACUGAGGCCCGCCACCAUGCCCAGCUAAUUUUUGUAUUUUAGUAGAAACGGGGUUUCACCAUGUUGACCAGGCUGGUCUCCAACUCCUGACCUCAGGUGAUCCAUCCGCCUUGGCCUCCCAAAGUGCUGGGAUUACAGGCGUGAGCCACUGCUCCCGGCCCAUCUAUCAUUCUUUAUUGGAGUACCGGAGGGCAGCAGGAGUGAGAAAGAAGAGGUUUAUGGGAACCCGAGGUUGAAGGGGAAAUCAGCACUGGAUAUCACCUUUAAUGGGAAGGACAGGCAACUGGGACGUCUCCAGAGCACUUAAUAAGCUGUAGAGGUACUAUUUAGA